rnacentral:rRNA from 1 species
UACGGAGGGGGCGAGCGUUAUUCGGAAUUACUGGGCGUAAAGCGCGCGCAGGUGGCGCGGUAAGUGGUUGGUGAAAGCCCUCGGCUCAACCGAGGAAUUGCCUGCCAAACUACUGCGCUUGAGGCCGGGAGGGGAGAGCGGAAUUCCUGGUGUAGCGGUGAAAUGCGUAGAUACCAGGAGGAACACCGGUGGCGAAGGCGGCUCUCUGGACCGGUUCUGACACUCAUGCGCGAAAGCGUGGGGAGCAAAC